CGGGAAGGAUGGCUGGGACUGCACAGAGCUGAAUCCUGUUGGUCUGUUCCCUCAUCACUGCUGAGCUUGUGGGAAUCAGGUGGGAGUCUGGGUAGGUGUCAGGACCUUUUGGACUCUUACUCUCUCCUGUUUGACACACUCUUACUGUGCCCUGACAGUUGUUUUCAGAAUAAAUUAUCCGUCACUGCUUCUUUCCUGUCCUUUUACUUUCAUUCCAGUAAAGUUCAGAGGCAAGGAUCUGACUACAAUUUUACUGUCUUUGCUUUUGACACCUCCAUAGCUGCCAAGCAGAGUGGUUAUCUCUAUGAAAUGUCAUUGCUGGAACUCAGAUUCUGGAGCACCCUCUGGCCCCACACCCCUCAGAAGCUGAGAAGGGCCGGGUGCUCCUCAGCAGUGCUGCUGCUCCCAGGCCUAUUGAAGGUACUGCUGAACCUUUCCCAGGAACUUGUCUCUGCAUGCUGUGAAGACAACAUGCUCUCUGCUGUUUGGAUCAAUGCUACAAGGACCAUGGGAGUUGGGAACUCUUGAAGUGACACGCAAAUGGGCAAGCUGGGAGACUGUGGUAGAAGAGCUUGCAGCCUAUGAUCAGUCAACCACUUCCUAGGAACAAGAGCCCUUAGGGGACAGUCUUGCUGAUCCCAAAGCUGAAAGACAUGGUGCCUGUACAGGACCCCUCUGAGCUGACAGUGGGAUAAACAGGUAAGCUGAGAGAUGAUUUUGUUCUUUGGUAAAUGUAGUUUGCAUGCCAGUUAGGUGCAUUUAACAGCUGGGAUGUCUUUUCAGGUGAACACUCAAAGAAGGGAGAAGUGGAUUAUAUAGUUCUUAUUUAUCUCCUUCUUUAGCCUCUUUUAGUAUCAUGCAAUCCCUUAUUCUUUAAGUUUACUCAGCUCCUCAGUUAGCUGAUGUUCAUUUAAUUGACAUGUGCUUUACUUAAGAAUGUGCCUUUUCUUUUCCAAAUCUGUGUUUCACUGAGGUGAGCAGGGCUACCUAGAUUGUGGUGUGCUUUCCAGUAUAAAUAAAACAGCUGGCUUGGAACCUGGCUGGAUUGAGAGCACCUCUCAAU
rnacentral:lncRNA from 1 species